UACGUAGGGUGCAAGCGUUAAUCGGAAUUACUGGGCGUAAAGCGUGCGCAGGCGGCUUUGCAAAACAGAUGUGAAAUCCCCGGGCUUAACCUGGGAACUGCAUUUGUGACUGCAUGGCUGGAGUGCGGCAGAGGGGGAUGGAAUUCCGCGUGUAGCAGUGAAAUGCGUAGAUAUGCGGAGGAACACCGAUGGCGAAGGCAAUCCCCUGGGCCUGCACUGACGCUCAUGCACGAAAGCGUGGGGAGCAAACAGG
rnacentral:rRNA from 1 species